CCUACGGGGGGCUGCAGUAGGGAAUAUUGGUCAAUGGGUGAGAGCCUGAACCAGCCAUGCCGCGUGCAGGAAGACGGCCUUCUGGGUUGUAAACUGCUUUUAUCUGGGGAUAAAAUGACCGUGCGCGGUUAAUUGAAGGUACCAGAUGAAUAAGCACCGGCUAACUACGUGCCAGCAGCCGCGGUAAUACGUAGGGUGCAAGCGUUGUCCGGAUUUAUUGGGUUUAAAGGGUGCGUAGGCGGCUCGUUAAGUCAGUGGUGAAAUACAACAGCUCA
rnacentral:rRNA from 1 species